rnacentral:lncRNA from 1 species
GGGACAGAAGUUAGGAUGAUAGACUUCUCCACCCAUGUGAUAAUUGGGAGGCUUACCUCCACCAAAGGGUAGGUCCCGAAUAACACCACACUCAGGAACUUCUUCUUGUAAUCAACUCUGGCCAUUUCAUCUUCAGGCUCCUUCUCAAACAACCUAUAGCCAAGCUGGAACCAGGGAUAGCUUUAGCUUCUUCUGAGCACCACCUGUCACUGGGCAGUAGACCUCUU